rnacentral:misc_RNA from 1 species
CAAGAAGACCUACAGCAACAAGAAGGGUGGACCCGGCAAGCGCCAGACCCGGCGCGCGGAAUCCGCCAAAAAACGCGAAGCACGCAAGGCAUGAUUUUGAUGUCCCCCGCUCGCAAGGGCGGGGCGGCAUCCCCAUAUAGGGUCGAUCCCGGUAUGGGGAAACUGGUCUGGCCGGGUAUCGGCGUGUUUCUGGGAGCAGCUUGAUGGCGUCCGCAGCCGAACAAUUGGCAGCCAAUUUCAACUUUGGCUCCAUCGCCAAGGCCAAGGAGCUGCGCAGCCGCAUCUUCUUCACCCUGGGCGCCCUGGUCGUGGCGCGCCUGGGCAGCUACAUCCCCCUG